ACACAGCAUUAGGCCCAGGGAAGGCAUAAUUAAAGGACCGCUAUGGAUGGAUUUCCCAUUCACCAGGAUGAUUGACCUAGAUGCUGUAGAAAAAUCAGCAGUGAGGAGGCUAGAGGUCUCAGUUUUAUCACUAAUGAAAUCAGAAUAACUGCUUGGAGAACCUCGUCUCCUCCUUCCUCUUCUCCAUACUGCUCAUCUGGGCUCCAGCUUAGACUUCUACCUGAUGCUCAGG
rnacentral:lncRNA from 1 species